rnacentral:rRNA from 1 species
CCUUCGGGAACUCUGAGACAGGUGCUGCAUGGCUGUCGUCAGUAGUGUUGUGAAAUGUUGGGUUAAGUCCCGCAACGAGCGCAACCCUUAUCCUUUGUUGCCAGCGGUUCGGCCGGGAACUCAAAGGAGACUGCCAGUGAUAAACUGGAGGAAGGUGGGGAUGACGUCAAGUCAUCAUGGCCCUUACGAGUAGGGCUACACACGUGCUACAAUGGCGCAUACAAAGAGAAGCGACCUCGCGAGAGCAAGCGGACCUCAUAAAGUGCGUCGUAGUCCGGAUUGGAGUCUGCAACUCGACUCCAUGAAGUCGGAAUCGCUAGUAAUCGUAGAUCAGAAUGCUACGGUGAAUACGUUCCCGGGCCUUG